rnacentral:rRNA from 1 species
GCAACUGGACUAUAUGAAGUUGGAAUCGCUAGUAAUCGUAGAUCAGCAUGCUACGGUGAAUACGUUCCCGGGUCUUGUACACACCGCCCGUCACACCACGAGAGUUUGUAACACCCGAAGCCGGUGGAGUAACCAUUUUGGAGCUAGCCGUCGAAGGUGGGACAAAUGAUUGGGGUGAAGUCGUAACAAGGUAGCCGUAUCGGAAGGUGCGGCUGGAUCACCUCCUUUCUAAGGA